UACGUGAGGGUGCAAGCGUUUAAUCGGAAUUACUGGGCGUAAAGCGUGCGCAGGCGGUUGUGCAAGACAGAUGUGAAAUCCCCGGGCUCAACCUGGGAAUUGCAUUUGUGACUGCACGGCUAGAGUGUGUCAGAGGGGGGUAGAAUUCCACGUGUGAGCAGUGAAAUGCGUAGAGAUGUGGAGGAAUACCGAUGGCGAAGGCAGCCCCCUGGGAUAACACUGACGCCUCAUGCACGAAAGCGUGGGGAGCAAACAGG
rnacentral:rRNA from 1 species